rnacentral:RNase_P_RNA from 1 species
GCGGAAGGCUGGAUGGCCGCUUCGUUGGGCAACCAACGGGGAGGAAAGUCCGGACUCCGGAAAGAAACGGUGCCGGGUAACGCCCGGGCGGGGUAACCCGACGGAAAGCGCCACAGAAAAUAAACCGCCUGUCAGUCAAGGUUCGCCUUGGCGCGUUGGCAGGUAAGGGUGAAACGGUGGGGUAAGAGCCCACCGCGCGGCUGGCAACAGCGGCGGCAUGGCAAGCCCCACCGGGAGCAACGCCAAAUAGGGACCGCGUGCUUCUGUGUCUUCGGGCAUGGCGGCGGAGCUUCUUUCGCUCCAGCAGGUCCGGGUUGGCGGCUGUAGCUGUGUCGGUAACGGCAUGGUCAGAGGAAUGGUCAUCCAUGAGGGGCAACCCUCGGGACAGAAUCCGGCUUAUAGGCCUUUCGCGCAU